ensembl:lncRNA
CCACACGGUGUCCCGCAGGACACUAUACGACAAAGUCCCCGCCGCGGCUCCUGUUUCUCGGGGCCACCAUAAAAGGGAAAGCCCUCAACAUAUCCGCGUCUCCAGCUUUCCUGACCUCCCUGCGAAUACGCGCCCGGGUAUCAUGUGGAUCGGGGAGAAACAGAACCGGCUCUUCCUUAAGGUCUAUCGGGACAGAAUCAAAAGUGUCGUCAGGACCUUCGUGAGAGGAGGCGGCGAGGACACCACCCCGCGGCGGUGAUAAUGAAGGAGCUGAUGGCACAACGGAUACUCAAAACCCGACUGCACAGUCCUGAGCAACAUGUUCUACAUGACUCUGCUUGAACAGUGAGUUUAGACUAGUUGAUCUUCAGAGGUCCUGUCCAAUCUCAAAGAUUCUAUGAAUCCUACUCCUCUGGCAACUGUCUUGACCACAGACAACAGGCUUACUUUCCUGGUUUGCUAUUCCAGUUUAAAAUGUCUUCAUCAGUGAAUAUAGAUCAGUGUAAAAUUGAAGUAACAGAGUGAUAUUGCCAUGCAAGGCAAUGUUCCAAAUACAGUGAAAGAUUAUUUUAAUCUCAGAAGAGAUUAGUUAGCUGUAUAGGUAGUAAAAUAAGGACCACUGUUACAGAUACUAAGAUAUUAUUUAAACAAAUAACCACAGAAAUAUCAAUAUUAUCUGCUUUUUCUUUACUUCACAAGGUUUUUAAAAAUGUCAAGGUGAAAAAAAAAAACACACAAUGUUUAAUAUUUUAUUCAUAGAUUAGUAUAAUACAUUUCCAGAUAAAAUCAAUACUGUGUUAUUAUUGUUAUUAUUAAGAACUACGUUAUCCUCCCCAGUGAGAAACAAAAUACAACAUAAGGAAGAAACUGAUGAAUUAGAAAAGAAGAAAAUAGCCAAUUCUAAACAGCACUAUGAACAAUCAAAUAAUUCUUAUUCGUGUUCCCUUACUUGCAAGCCUGUUCUGUUAUUGUUUUGUUCUGACUGUUUGUUUUUUUAACAUUUCUGUGUUUUCUUUGUUUCAGCAAGAGACUGAAUCGAUAACGAUCUCAGGGCUUCAUCUGAAAAUGAUAGUAUUUUCAUCUGUAUGACGCAUUUGGUGAGAUCUUUGAAAUAAACACACUCCAGUCAAGAGGUGGAGUGCAGGGAUACAGGAGAAGGUUGUCUGAGAGUCAACCAAUAUAAAAGGGAAUCAAUACAUUUACUACUGGUAAAUAAAAUGGAGUUUUUGUACAAAGUGUAGAUGAUCAAGAUGGUCUAGAAAAAUGAUUCAGAAUGUUAAGAAGCUUUUGUGAUCAUUUCCACUCAUUGUUUUGUAAGCCUGCCUACUCAACAAAGAUUGACAUGAAAGUGAAGAAGGCUGAUAAAAAGCAUUCUGAACAGCAC